AUGAUCGAUCAUCUGAAUUCCAGAUCCUGAAUAUAUUGAAGAUCCUGGGUAUUGUUUUGCUCUGCAUUAGCAUCAUCAGCUUUGAGUGCUGGUUCAGAUUCUCCAAGAAACCAAAGAAGGAACCAGAAGAACCAACCUAUGUCAACAAUGUGAUGGAAACUACAGCAUCAUGAGCCUCAAGGAGACCAAGAAGACGUCAAGGUAUCUUUCAGAGAGGAUUUAUUUCUAUCUUCCCAGUUUCUGUGUCCAAUAAUUAAUGUUUGUGUUUCAAGAAGCUUUCUUUUAUUCUGCAAAGACCAAUAAUUGGAGGUCUGGAUUCACUUUGGACGCAUCACCAGUCCAUCACAUCUCCAUUCAUUGUGCUUUAGAAAUCACUUAUUAUUUCUUGAUACUUUUUUCUGCAACACAAUGUAGUACUUAUCGACUAAAUAGUAAUGCUUUGGUAGAACACUGAAAUAUAAAUAUUUGUAAAAUAAUGCAAAGACAAUCUUUAUGCAUUUUCCUUAGUUUUUCACCUUAGUUUUUAAGAUUAAACUCGUUCUCAUAUUCGCCUGAAUGAGAAACUCAGUUUAGGAUGUCAUACGUUGUAUGUAUUGUACUUUCAGGUGUGAAACAGGAUGAUUUCUCCAUGAUGCUUUCAUAAAGGUGUUCAUGCAAUAUGUGCAGAAUGGAGUUUAGUAUGUAGCCGAUUUAUGACAGGUUUCAGUAUUUGUUGUGCGUACUUCUGAACGAUUCUUGUUUUUGUUUUUGACUUGACAGCUUAUGCUGAAUAUGUUCUUUUCUUCUCUUUUUGCAUUUUUUGUGUGUCUUUACCACAUGUUCCCCUCUAAUUUGCCACUGUGGGCUGUACAGUGGUACAGUUGGUAGCACUUGUCGCCUUACAGCAGGAAGGUCCUGGGUUCGAUUCCCGGCCCGGGGUCUUUCUGCAUGGAGUUUGCAUGUGGGUUCUCAGGUACUCCGUCUUCCUCCCACAGUCCAAACCAUGACUGUCAGGUUAAUUGAUCUGUCUAAAUUCUGUUUAGUUGUGAGUGUGUGCGUGCAUGGUGGUCUGUCUCUGUAUGGAAAUUCAGAAGCAAGAUUAUAGAUUUAUGUGAACGACUGGAAAAGUUCCACAAUCACCUUCUUUAUUAUUGCCAUACCAAUGCCAUUGCAGUCAAAUAUCCAUUUAUUAUUAUCAAAUGUAUUAAAAAUAUCAAUUAAUUCUCUUUCUUUCACUGUUGUGAGAAACUUUGUACACAGAUUUCUAAUGAUUAAAAUCUCAAUCAGUUCUUCAGCAGCUGUAAGAACCAAGACUUUUUAUUUUUUUUAUAUUUGUUUGGUGUGAUUAUCUCCCAAACUUGCAAAUAAUUUAUCAUUUGCAAGUUUGGGGGGGGUGGGGGAGGGAAACCGCUUGACCAGGGAUCUGCCACUGACAGAACUGAGAGCUGGUCUCAGAGAUUGUGGCCACCAACGGGUAAGAUCCGCGGGGUCUCGAGGAUCUUGGUUGAUCUGCCGAGGUUCGUGGAGAUUCAAAGAACUCAAAACUUCACGAAAUGACGACCUAGGAGAGGCAGCACAGAAGGAGAUUACUAGGAGAACAGGUUGGUCGGAGGUGAGGUAUCAAUGAUUUACCAUCACAGGCUAACACUCUGGCACAGGAGUGUCGGCGGCUCCGUCCUGAUAAACUCCUCCAACAAUGGUAAGUGGCAGCAGGUGUGCAGCUGCAGGUCCACGCCCUCCAGGAGGUCCCCGGAUGCCCCCUGGUGGAGAAACUAGAAACAUAAAAGCCAUGUGAAAGAACUACAGCAAACCAAUCGUCUGUGAUCCUUGUUACAACUAAAGGUAAUUCAUUAGCGGACACUUUUUUCUUAUAAAGAAUCAGUGAAUUAGUUCAGGAUUUGGUUCAUAAAACAUAAACAAAUCUAUCAAACCACCUUUUAAAUAUUUGAAUUAUUUGCAGUAACAAAAAAUUAUGGGAAAUUGGUUUUCUUGUUACAGAUGAUCAGGAGUCUGGAUUCACAACUUAUAUAACACUGAAUAUCCUGGGCCUUGUAAUAAUCGGUGCUGCCAUCAUCAUCUUUGAGUGGUGGUUCAGAUUCUACAACAAACCAAAGGAAACAGAAGAACCAAUCGAUGUCAAGAAUAUGGCUGUAGCUAAAGCAUCAUGAGCUGCAAGGAGACCAGGGAGAUGUCAAGGCCUCUGUCAGAGAGAGGAUUUUUUUCAUCUAACUAUUUUUCUGUCCAAUUGUUCAAUUAGUUUUUUCUGCAAGACCCAGUUGCUGAAAUGCUGGAUAGACCCUGAAUGGAUCUUCAGUCCAUCACAUCACCAUUCAUUGUGCUUUAAAUAAUGUUUGAUACUUGUCUCUACAUUCAAGUGUGUUACUUAUGGAGUAAAUAGCGACGCUUCAGUGGAUAAUAGAGUUAUAAAUAAGGCCCAUAAAUACUGCAAAAUAAAGAGUUUGUAAGAGUGAAGCAGAUGUUCUCCUGAAUGUAAAAACUCUCCUGAUACAAGAGGAGGAUUGUUUUUAAGAGUUGGCUUUGUGUGUUUCUUUCUGCUACAUUCAGGCAUGUGUCUUAUUUCUAUAUUUUUUUUUACUGAAUUUAAAAACAUACACUAGAUGGUUUUGCUUUCAACAAAAGGUUGUAAAAUAUGAAGCAUCAAACCUUACUGGUCUUUUAUUCUUUGUAUUUCCGUUG